GGGAGGCUGCUUGGAAUUGGUAUACAGCGCGGACUUAAAAUCCGAUGACCUUAAUUGGUGGGGGUUCGAGUCCCCUGCCUCCCACCA
rnacentral:sRNA from 1 species